AUUGAACGCUAGCGGGAUGCCUUACACAUGCAAGUCGAACGGAGUGGCGAACGGGUGAGUAAUGUAUCGGAACGUGCCCAGUAGCGGGGGAUAACUACGCGAAAGCGUAGCUAAUACCGCAUACUAUUGGAGCGGCCGAUAUCGGAUUAGCUAGUUGGGGGGGUAACGGCUCACCAAGGCGACGAUCCGUAGCUGGUUUGAGAGGAGGACCAGCCACACGGGGACUGAGACACGGUCCAGACUCCGACGGGAGGCAGCAGUGGGGAAUUUUGGAAAAGGGGGGAAACCCUGAUCCAGCCCUCCCGGGUUGGCGAUUAAGGCCUUCGGGUUUGAAAGCACCUUUGGCAGGAAAGCGGUACCUGCAGAAUAAGCACCGGCUAACUACGUGCCAGCAGCCGCGGUAAUAC
rnacentral:rRNA from 1 species